rnacentral:rRNA from 1 species
AUUGAACGCUGGCGGCAUGCUUUACACAUGCAAGUCGAACGGCAGCGCGGGCUUCGGCCUGGCGGCGAGUGGCGAACGGGUGAGUAAUACAUCGGAACGUGCCCAGUUGUGGGGGAUAGCUCGGCGAAAGCCGGAUUAAUACCGCAUGCGACCUGCGGGUGAAAGCGGGGGAUCUUCGGACCUCGCGCUAUUGGAGCGGCCGAUGGCCGAUUAGCUAGUUGGUGGGGUAAAGGCCUACCAAGGCGACGAUCUGUAGCUGGUCUGAGAGGACGACCAGCCACACUGGGACUGGGACACGGCCCAGACUCCUACGGUAGGCAGCAGUGGGGAAUUUUGGACAAUGGGCGAAAGCCUGAUCCAGCAAUGCCGCGUGUGUGAUGAAGGCCUUCGGGUUGUAAAGCACUUUUGGCGGGAACGAAAAGGACUGUGCCAAUACCACGGUUCGAUGACGGUACCCGCAGAAUAAGCACCGGCUAACUACGUG